CCUACGGGUGGCAGCAGUGAGGAAUAUUGGUCAAUGGACGCAAGACUGAACCAGCCAUGUCGCGUGCAGGAAGACGGCUCUAUGAGUUGUAAACUGCUUUUGUACGAGGAUAAAAGCCGUUACGCGUGUCGGUCUGUAAGUAUCGCACGAAUAAGGAUCGGCUAACUCCGUGCCAGCAGCCGCGGUAAUACGGAGGAUUCAAGCGUUAUCCGGAUUUAUUGGGUUUAAAGGGUGCGUAGGCGGCAGGAUAAGCUAGCGGUGAAAUCCCGAGGCUCAACUUCGGAAUUGCCGCUGAUACUGUUCGGCUAGAGAGUAGUUGCGGUAGGCGGAAUGAGUGGUGUAGCGGUGAAAUGCUUAGAGAUCAUACAGAACACCGAUUGCGAAGGCAGCUUACCAAGCUACUUCUGACGUUGAGGCACGAAGGCGUGGGGAGCGAACAGGAUUAGAUACCCUGGUAGUC
rnacentral:rRNA from 1 species